UUCCGUAGGUGAACCUGCGGAAGGAUCAUUAUCGAACUUAUGGAUUGUCGCUGGCUAGGUCCAUUCUAGCAUGUGCACGUCCUACACAACACACACACACACACCUUGUGCACCUAUUGUAGAUCGAGAGAUCUAUGUCUUAUCAUAAUCAACAUCUAUCGUAUGUCUAGAAUGUAAAUAUAAUACAACUUUCAGCAAUGGAUCUCUUGGUUCUCGCAUCGAUGAAGAACGCAGCGAAUUGCGAUAAGUAAUGUGAAUUGCAGAUUUUCAGUGAAUCAUCGAAUCUUUGAACGCACCUUGCGCUCCUUGGUAUUCCGAGGAGCAUGCCUGUUUGAGUGUCAUUUAAUCAUCAACCACUAGGUCUUUCAUUAGACUUUUUGGCUUGGACUUGGGAUUUGCUGGCUCGUUCAGCUGUCCUUAAAUGCAUUAGCGAGUGUUAUUCUACAUGCACGGCCUUUUCGACGUGAUAACGAUCGUCGUGGGCUGGAAGUGUAGGUUCUUGCUUCAAAUUCAAUAUGCCCUGAUAGCUGGAAGCAUAGCAUGAUUACAAGUGAAUUUGUCGA
rnacentral:rRNA from 1 species